GUGAAUCAUCGAAUUUUUGAACGCAAAUUGCACUCCCUGGGAUUCCGGGGAGUAUGCCUGUUUGAGGGUCGUUAGAAUAAAAAAUCGAGGCGUCGCUCUAUUUUGUAAGGGUGAUCGCGUCGGAAUUUAGCCGUCUUUCAAAUGUUAAUUCAUGUCAAAGUGUCUUAAAAUUCAUCCAUCCGGUACGAUUAAAGCGUAUUUAAGAUCAAUUUUGAUUAAUAACUCGCGAUGACGUACCAUAUCAUGGAUUACGUCUGACUUGGCUUC
rnacentral:misc_RNA from 1 species